UGGGGAAUAUUGCACAAUGGGCGAAAGCCUGAUGCAGCGACGCCGCGUGAGGGAUGACGGCCUUCGGGUUGUAAACCUCUUUCAGUAGGGACGAAGCGCAAGUGACGGUACCUGCAGAAGAAGCACCGGCUAACUACGUGCCAGCAGCCGCGGUAAUACGUAGGGUGCGAGCGUUGUCCGGAAUUACUGGGCGUAAAGAGCUAGUAGGCGGUUUGUCACGUCGUCUGUGAAAUCCUAGGGCUUAACCAUGGACGGGCAGGCGAUACGGGCUGACUUGAGUACUACAGGGGAGAGUGGAAGUUCUGGUGUAGCGGUGGAAUGCACAGAUAUCAGGAAGAACACCGAUGGCGAAGGAAGGUCUCUGGGUAGUAACUGACGCUGAGGAGCGAAAGCAUGGGUAGCGAACAGG
rnacentral:rRNA from 1 species